rnacentral:rRNA from 2 species
AGCUCCAAUAGCGUAUAUUAAAGUUGUUGCAGUUAAAAAGCUCGUAGUUGGAUUUCUGGCAGGAGCGACCGGUCACACACUCUGUGCGUGAACUUGUGUUGUCUCUGGCCAUCCUUGGGGAGAUCCUGUUUGGCAUUAAGUUGUCGGGCAGGGGAUACCCAUCGUUUACUGUGAAAAAAUUAGAGUGUUUAAAGCAGGCUUAUGCCGUUGAAUAUAUUAGCAUGGAAUAAUAAGAUAGGACUUCGGAACUAUUUUGUUGGUUUGCGUUACGAAGUAAUGAUUAAUAGGGACAGUUGGGGGUAUUCGUAUUUCAUUGUCAGAGGUGAAAUUCUUGGAUUUCUGAAAGACGAACUACUGCGAAAGCAUUUACCAAGGAUGUUUUCAUUA